rnacentral:lncRNA from 1 species
AGGAGCUCCCCAAAAUGGGCAUAAUUGGUAAAAUGAGUGCAUUACUGGUACUUGAUGAUUUUAAUCUUUUUUUUUUGCUUUGAAAAGAAAUGAGUAAACCUUGACUGCAGGGAGAGCAAAGAACUGUGUAGAGCCACUUUGCUUUAAUCAUCUAGAAAAUAUCUUUUCCUCAAAUCAGAGGUUUCAAGGUCAAGUAGAUGUCUUCUUAUUUUUCAGCUGAAAUUGGGAAGGUGAUGAGAGAAGCAAUACAACCAGAAUCCUGUCUCCAGGAUUUACUUUAUCCUGAAGUAAAGAAGGAAUCUUACAUCAUGGAUAUACUCAUUUUUCUGCAGAUGAUGAGGAGGACAUGUAACCGUAGGACAAGUACAGGGGGCUGAAGAACAAAUAUAUCAACAAGGAAGCAAUGCAGGAACAGAAACCUGAGUCAAUAUUCAGUCAAACCCUUCAAUUAUGCAGCUCAUUUUGUACUGAUUUAAGUAAAUCCUUAUUUCUGAAGCAACUUGUGCCUAGGGAGAAAGAGUGGAAGAGACUCUGGUAUCCUCAUAGACAGCAGCUGAUGGGAAUCAUGAUACAGUGAAGAGAGGUAAAACCUUAACCAGUCUGGAAUUCAGGAGUAGUGGAGGUACCCAAGGAGAAGAGAUAUGGACCUCAGGAGAAGAAAUCAUUUUAGAAACAUGCAUAUAUAUAUAUAUAUAUAUAUAUAUAUAUAUAUAUAUAUAUAUGGAUUUGCCCCAUGUUUUUGUCAGAUGGGAGAUCCAAUAUAAAUGGAAGUUACUGUGGUAAACAGCGUAAGGUUGUCAUCAGGCCACAGAAAAUCUCUUCACAAAUGCUCUCUUUCCGCGUUGGAGUUCAGGAACAGAGGAAUGUAAGAUCAAACCAGCUCACAUGCUGCAGCACUUAAAGUAGCCUAUUUUAAAAAUAGAAAUCAGAUCUGAUCUCUCUUUGGGAAUAAAAAAAGUCUUGUGCAAAAAGUUACGAGAAGUUCUGGAUCAGAUUCUGUGGUCAGCAGCUCAAGUGGCUUAAAUAAUCAAACUAGUAAAAAAAAAAAUUCUUUCAAAAAACAGUUCAGAUUGCUCUGGGUGUGUGUCUGUGCUUGAGUGGUCACAGCCAACACCUAGCCCAAAAGAGCUGAAAUGGGGGACCACAGCAGCCAACUGUGGGGUGAAACGUCACUGUCACUGGAAAAGUAAUUACAGCAUGUCAGUCAAUGAAACGUAACAGCAAAUUAUAGACACUGUUUCAAGGAAAAAGACUUCAGGGGGUUCCUGGCUU